CCAAAAAACAGAAGCUCUUUCUUCCUCCUCCUUCUCUCAUCUCUCCCUCUCGUCCCCAAAAAACAGAAGCUCCUCUCUCCCUUUCGUCCUUCUCCCCCAUCCUGCAAGAACAAUAUAUGUUUGCUCUCUCUCGUUUCCUCCUCCCUUCUCCCUCUCCUUCCUCCUCCCUUUUCCCCUUAAUUUAUUAUUUUUUUUAUCUGUUUUGCAGCAGUGGUUGGCGGCGGCAACAGCUCCUCAGUCGACUUCUCCAGCAUUUUUUUCGUCGAAAUGGAAUUUGUGCAUCGUAGAUGAAUGUAUAAUAGGAAUCAUCCUAAUCGUGCGGGGUUGAAGGAUGAAUUUAUUGAAGGGGUUGCUGAAUUUAUUGUUAAGGCUCAAACACUUGAUGAUUUUCUUAUUGGAGGAAGGAUUAGGUGCCCUUGUGUGAAAUAUAAGUAUGUUAAUUUAUUGAAAGCAGACGAAGUUAAAGUUCAUCUAUACAAGAAAGGGUUUGUAGUCAAAGUAAAUUCCAGAAAGGGUCUAUGUCUGCCAAAGGAAGUCAAAGUAACACUGUUUUUAACUUUGUACCCACACCUUCCAUACCAUCAUCUUCACCGGAAUUUCAUGGUAGUCAGCAUGGUGGCUCACCAGCUACUACAUCCCCAAGCUUUUAUGGUAGUUAGUAUACUGGCUCACCAGCUGCUGCACCUUCGAGCUUUCAUGGUAGUCAGCAUGAUGGCUCACCAGCUGCUGCAUCCCCGAGUUUUCAUGGUAGUCAACAUGAUGGUUCGUCUUUUGUUGCUCCAUCAUCUUUCAGUCCAUCAUCAUCAUCCAUUCCCAGUAUAUCUAGGUUGGAUAUUGGAGGCUCUCGCCUAGCUACAUCUAGUGCUGCUUCUGCACCAUCUAGUAGACGCAGGCAGAAUCUUAGAGAGGAUGUACAAUUUGAUAGUUAUAAUCGAUUGAUAAUCGUCCCCUACGAGGAUGGGUUUUUGCCAUCCUUUCAGUAUUCACAUUUGGUUGUGGAAUUUAUGAAGCCAUUUUAUCAUGAGCCGUAGAAUUCUUGGAGAUAGAUACGUAUACAUGGCAUCCUCAGCAUCAAAAUAAAAUAAAUAAUAUUUUCGACAAGAAGGCUGCUAAGCGGAUUAAAGAUACUAUGUUCGCUGCUCAGAAUGCUGGUAAAAUGCCGGAGUGGUUAAGAGAAGAUGUUUGGGAUAUAUUUCUUAAGAAAUGAAAUACCGCAGAAUGGAAGAAGAAGAGUGAACAAGCAAAGGCAAAUCGUGCCUCCAGUAAAGGUUGCUCGUUGCACACAAGAGGAAAAGGAAAGAGGGCGAGAUAUGAGUCAUGCUGAGGUCUUUGAGGAGACGCAUAAGAAAAAGAAGAAGGAUGGUACAAGAGAACACUAGGGGAGACGCGUGCGUCAGACACAUAUAAAGAUUAUCAUAAAAGGGUGGAAGAAUGGCAACAAACUCAUCCUCUUUUAACUCAACCAACACCUAAUGAAAUGGCUUCAUUGUGGACAGAGGCAGCAGGUGGAGUAAACAAAGGAAGAGUUUAUGGACUUGGCGUACGUCGACCUACAGGUCAUCUAAACCCACUCUUAGCCAACUCUUCUUCUUCUCAAAAUCAAGAACAGAUGGAAGAUAUGAGAAAGAAAAUUCGUGAUUUGAAGCAACAGUUGGACUCCCAAAUUCGGAACAUUUGUUAAGAUGCAGAAAUUCAUGAGAAAACAUGGGCAUGAUCUAUCUGAUGAUGAGGAUGAACAAACUGAAUCCGAUGUGUAGUAGAUUAGGUGUGGUGUUUUGGUUAAUUGGUAAACUUGAUUGUGAAAGACAACUUUAUAUUUUAUUUUUAAACUUGAAUGUGGGCUACUAUUUGGAUGUUUUUAUGCCCAAAAUUGUUAGGUUUAAUAGUUGGUAUUGUUGGUUUAGAUUGUGCUAAUGGUUGGAAUUGUUGGUUUAUAUUAUGUUAAUAGUUGGUAUUGUUGGUUUA